CGCAAGCCUGACGGAGCAAUACCGCGUGGGGGAGGAAGGCUCUUGGGUCGUAAACCUCUUUUCUCUGGGAAGAAUACAAUGACGGUACCUGAGGAAUCAGCAUCGGCUAACUCCGUGCCAGCAGCCGCGGUAAUACGGAGGAUGCAAGCGUUAUCCGGAAUGAUUGGGCGUAAAGCGUCCGCAGGUGGCAGUGUAAGUCUGCUGUCAAAGGUCAGGGCUUAACCCUGAACAGGCAGUGGAAACUACACAGCUAGAGUGCGGUGGGGGCAGAGGGAAUUCCCAGUGUAGCGGUGAAAUGCGUAGAGAUUGGGAAGAACACCGGUGGCGAAAGCGCUCUGCUAGGCCGUAACUGACACUCAUGGACGAAAGCUAGGGGAGCG
rnacentral:rRNA from 1 species